UACGAAGGGGGCUAGCGUUGUUCGGAAUUACUGGGCGUAAAGCGCACGUAGGCGGACAUUUAAGUCAGGGGUGAAAUCCCGGGGCUCAACCUCGGAACUGCCUUUGAUACUGGGUGUCUAGAGUAUGGUAGAGGUAAGUGGAAUUGCGAGUGUAGAGGUGAAAUUCGUAGAUAUUCGCAGGAACACCAGUGGCGAAGGCGGCUUACUGGUCCAUUACUGACGCUGAGGUGCGAAAGCGUGGGGAGCAAACAGG
rnacentral:rRNA from 1 species